rnacentral:rRNA from 1 species
GAUGAACGCUGGCGGCGUGCCUAAUACAUGCAAGUCGAGCGAACGGACGAGAAGCUUGCUUCUCUGAUGUUAGCGGCGGACGGGUGAGUAACACGUGGAUAACCUACCUAUAAGACUGGGAUAACUUCGGGAAACCGUAGCUAAUACCGGAUAAUAUUUUGAACCGCAUGGUUCAAAAGUGAAAGACGGUCUUGCUGUCACUUAUAGAUGGAUCCGCGCUGCAUUAGCUAGUUGGUAAGGUAACGGCUUACCAAGGCAACGAUGCAUAGCCGACCUGAGAGAGUGAUCGGCCACACUGGAACUGAGACGCGGUCCAGACUCCUACGGGAGGCAGCAGUAGGGAAUCUUCCGCAAUGGGCGAAAGCCUGACGGAGCAACGCCGCGUGAGUGAUGAAGGUCUUCGGAUCGUAAAACUCUGUUAUUAGGGAAGAACAUAUGUGUAAGUAACUGUGCACAUCUUGACGGUACCUAAUCAGAAAGCCACGGCUAACUACGUG